CCUACGGGAGGCAGCAGUGGGGAAUAUUGCACAAUGGGCGCAAGCCUGAUGCAGCGACGCCGCGUGGGGGAUGAAGGCCUUCGGGUUGUAAACCCCUUUCAGCAGGGAAGAAGCGAAAGUGACGGUACCUGCAGAAGAAGCGCCGGCUAACUACGUGCCAGCAGCCGCGGUAAUACGUAGGGCGCAAGCGUUGUCCGGAAUUAUUGGGCGUAAAGAGCUCGUAGGCGGUUUGUCGCGUCUGCUGUGAAAGUCCGAGGCUCAACCUCGGAUCUGCAGUGGGUACGGGCAGACUAGAGUGUGGUAGGGGAGACUGGAAUUCCUGGUGUAGCGGUGGAAUGCGCAGAUAUCAGGAGGAACACCAAUGGCGAAGGCAGGUCUCUGGGCCACAACUGACGCUGAGGAGCGAAAGCAUGGGGAGCGAACAGGAUUAGAUACCCUGGUAGUCCAUGCCGUAAACGGUGGGCACUAGAUGUGGGGCUCUUUCCAUGAGUUCCGCGUCGCAGCUAACGCAUUAAGUGCCCCGCCUGGGGAGUACGGCCGCAAGGCUAAAACUUAAAUGAAUUGACGG
rnacentral:rRNA from 1 species